rnacentral:misc_RNA from 1 species
UCUCCGUUGGUGAACCAGCGGAGGGAUCAUUACAGAGUUGCAAAACUCCCAAACCAUUGUGAACGUUACCUAUCCCGUUGCUUCGGCGGGCGGCCCGGGCCCCGCGCCCGGCGCCCCCCGGCCCCCCGUGGGCGCCCGCCGGAGGUAAACCAGACCCUUGAAUUGCAUGGCCUCUCUGAGUCUGCUGUACUGAAUAAGUUAAAACUUUCAACAACGGAUCUCUUGGUUCUG